GGUUGAACUGGGAGAGAAAGUGUUGUCCCUGAUUAGUCUAUGUGGACUGCAAAGGUUGAACUGGGAGAGAAAGUGUUGUCCCUGAUUAGUCUGUGUGGACUGCAAAGGUUGAACUGGGAGAGAAAGUGUUGUCCCUGAUUAGUCUGUGUGGACUGCAAAGGCUGAACUGGGAGAGAAAGUGUUGUCCCUGUUGUCCUUUGUGUGGACUGCAAAGGUUGAACUGGGAGAGAAAGUGUUG